rnacentral:rRNA from 1 species
UGUGUUCCUGAGCCUUGUACACACCGCCCGUCAAGCCACGAAAGGGAGGAGCGCCCGAAGUCGUUUCACCAAGUAAACGCCGAAGGCGAAACUCCUGAUUGGGACU